rnacentral:pre_miRNA from 1 species
GUCACCUGGGUAUCUCCUUGAAACGCAGAUCCAAAGGUCUGAAGUAGGGCCUGAGAUUCUGCAUUUCCAAUGAGCUCCCAGGUGAUGCUAA